rnacentral:tRNA from 1 species
CAGGAAAUAGUUUAUAAAAAUAUUAAUUUUGGAGAUUAAUGAUAAAGAAGAGUCUUUUUUCCUGA